GAGGAGUUAUCAUUUCAUAUUGGAUUAAUACGAUGUGUUAUGAAAACAAUGAAUUAUUCUUUACCAAUCUAUUGUGUGUAUUUGAAUUCAAGUCGAAUGUGUGCACAAA